UACGGGGGGAGCAAGCGUUGUUCGGAUUUACUGGGCGUAAAGGGCGGGUAGGCGGCCACCGCAAGUCAGUUGUGAAAUCUCCGGGCUUAACCCGGAAAGGUCAACUGAUACUGCGGGGCUAGAGUGCAGAAGGGGCAACUGGAAUUCUCGGUGUAGCGGUGAAAUGCGUAGAUAUCGAGAGGAACACCUGCGGCGAAGGCGGGUUGCUGGGCUGACACUGACGCUGAUGCGCGAAAGCCAGGGGAGCGAACGGG
rnacentral:rRNA from 1 species